rnacentral:misc_RNA from 1 species
AAGGAGCAUCUAGGCCGCCAAGCUUGCUUGGUGGUCCAGGACCAGUACAUCGGCGAAUGUCUGAUGCUGGUUGCUCAUGGGUGGAACGUUGAUUAUUCGGCACUCUUGGUCGUCUUCUCCUUCCAGUACUGUCCUUCGGGGCGUGGAACGUUGAGGGAAGCGGCGAAGGGUGUCGGGCACGCUGUUGGGUGUCUGAGGGUACGGCCGAUUGUUGGUCGCCUUCAGUGCCGGCCCCGGUGAAAAUCUGCUUCGGCGGGUUGUGACGGGUGGUUGGUCGUUG